CAAAACAUGUCUUAUUGAUAAUAAUUUUAAGUCGAUCUGCCCAAUGAUAAUAUUAUUAAAUGGCUGCAGUAUAACUGACUGUACAAAGGUAGCAUAAUCAAUUGGUUUUUAAAUGAAAUCUGGAAUGAAAGGAUUAAUGAAAUAUAUACUGUCUCAUAUAUAUUUUAUGAAUUUAAAAUUUUAAUAAAAAUAUUAAAAUUUUUUUAUGGGACGAUAAGACCCUAUAGAAUUUUAUAUAAAAUUAAUUUUAUACUUAAUAUAAAAUUUAAUUUUAUAUUUAAUUGGGAGAAUUAUUAAAUUUAAUAAAUUUUAAUUUAAGUAAACUUUAAUUAAAGAAAAAAUUUUGAUCUUUAAUUUAAAAUUAUUAGAAUAAAUUACCUUAGGGAUAACAGCGUUAUAUUUUUUUAUAGAUCAUAUAGAAAAAAAUGAUUGCGACCUCGAUGUUGAAUUAAGAUAAAUUUUAAAUGCAGAAGUUUAAUAAUUAAGUCUGUUCGACUUUUAAAAUCUUACAUGAUUUGAGUUCAAAUCGACGUAAGU
rnacentral:rRNA from 1 species